rnacentral:snRNA from 1 species
GGAUGUGAGGGCAAUCUGGCUCCGACGUCUGUCACCCCAUUGAUCUCCAGGGUUGAUUCGGCUGAUCUGGCUGGCUAGGCCCAUGUUCCCUUCCUCCCUCAACAGUCCGUGUGCAUCCCUCCCGAAGCUGCACACUUGGUCGAAGAGAACGACCACCCCAGAUAGAGGAGGACCGUUCCUCGGUGAAGGGUGUACGAGUAGCUGCAACCCCUGCUAGAACCUCUGAACAAGCUCUCUAGAUAGCAGACAGUCCAACUAAGAAAGGAAAAAGCCACUUAUCAAACCAACCACAUUCUCAUAUGCUGUAUUCA